AAGACCUUGCGCUUUUGGAGCGGCCGAUGCCUGAUUAGCUUGUUGGUAAGGUAAAAGCUUACCAAGGCUUCGAUCAGUAGCUGGUCUGAGAGGACGGCCAGCCACACUGGGACUGAGACACGGCCCAGACUCCUACGGGAGGCAGCAGUGGGGAAUUUUGGACAAUGGGGGCAACCCUGAUCCAGCCAUGCCGCGUGAGUGAAGAAGGCCUUCGGGUUGUAAAGCUCUUUCAGCCGGAACGAAACGGUUACGGUUAAUACCCGUGAUUACUGGCGGUACCGGAAGAAGAAGCACCGGCUAACUACGUGCCAGCAGCCGCGGUAAUACGUAGGGUGCGAGCGUUAAUCGGAAUUACUGGGCGUAAAGCGUGCGCAGGUGGUUUUGUAAGUCAGAUGUGAAAGCCCCGGGCUCAACCUGGGAACU
rnacentral:rRNA from 1 species